UGCCCAUCAGGGCUUGCCACAUCCAUCUUGCAAAGGACGGUUGGCAUCCCACAAGAUUUCAUCAGUCCUCCAGCCACCUAUAAAUAGAGGGACCUCUCCUUCCCCAGUCAACUGCUCUUCCACUUGGCUUCUGGUACCUCCAGGAUUCCCAACAACCUCCAGUCAUGAAGAUCUUCUGCCUCCUCUCUGUUGCCGUCCUCUUCUUGAUGCUGCUGGCUCCAGAUUUCACCAGAGCCCAAGGAUCCAAAUGUCAUGGGACCCAAUGUCCUACUCAGAGAUGCCAACAGAACGGGGGAAGAUGCCAAGUACGGUGCCGGCCGCCCCAAGUGGCAGUUUUUAGGUGCUCUGGUCGCCAACGGUGUUGCCGUAGAAGAUAUUAACUCUGCCGACCUCCGGUGAAAGACC